rnacentral:rRNA from 1 species
UUCCGUCGGAAUCUGGGAGGACCAUCUCCUAAGGCUAAAUACUCUCUAGUGACCGAUAGUGAACCAGUACCGUGAGGGAAAGGUGAAAAGCACCCCGGAAGGGGAGUGAAAUAGAACCUGAAACCGUGUGCUUACAAGUAGUCAGAGCCCGUUAAUGGGUGAUGGCGUGCCUUUUGUAGAAUGAACCGGCGAGUUACGAUUUGAUGCA